rnacentral:rRNA from 1 species
AACGAAUGCUGGCGGCAGGCUUAACACAUGCAAGUCGAGCGCCCCGCAAGGGGAGCGGCAGACGGGUGAGUAACGCGUGGGAAUCUACCCAUCUCUACGGAAUAACGCAUGGAAACGUGUGCUAAUACCGUAUACGUCCUUCGGGAGAAAGACUUAUCGGAGAUGGAUGAGCCCGCGUUGGAUUAGCUAGUUGGUGGGGUAAAGGCCUACCAAGGCGACGAUCCAUAGCUGGUCUGAGAGGAUGAUCAGCCACACUGGGACUGAGACACGGCCCAGGCUCCUACGGGAGGCAGCAGUGGGGAAUAUUGGACAAUGGGCGCAAGCCUGAUCCAACCAUGCCGCGUGAGUGAUGAAGGCCCUAGGGUUGUAAAGCUCUUUCACCGGUGAAGAUAAUGACGGUAACCGGAGAAGAAGCCCCGGCUAACUUCGUGCCAGCCGCCGCGGUAACAC